rnacentral:misc_RNA from 1 species
AAGUCGUAACAAGGUUUCCGUAGGUGAACCUGCGGAAGGAUCAUUAACACUGUUUUUCAAAAACAAACAGUUUUAAAAACCCCAAAACUUCAUGCGUGAACACGAGAAUUUUUUGUUCUCGUCCCCCCCUCCCUAUUUUUUUUUUCCAAACCCCAAUUCAAUUUCAACUCUUUUUUCUUCUCCGCGAAGAAAAAGAACUGAAAACAUGUAUAAAAUAUCGCUCUGAUAUUUUAUCUUUUUUUGAAAUGCUGAACAACUCUUAACAACGGAUAUCUUGGUUCUC